rnacentral:rRNA from 1 species
GACGAACGCUGACGGCGUGUUUAACACAUGCAAGUCGAAGGGAGUGGCGAACGGGUGAGUAACACGUGAGUAACCUGCCCUUUUCUUUGGGAUAAGCCUGGGAAACUGGGUCUAAUACUGGAUGGAUUGGGUUGGGCUCGCGGCUUAUCAGCUUGUUGGUGGGGUGAUGGCUUACCAAGGCUUUGACGGGUAGCCGGCCUGUGAAGGUGGUCGGUCACACUGGGACUGGGGUACGGCCCAGAAUCCUACAGGGUGAAACAGUGAAGGAUAUUAAACAAUGGACGAAAGUCUGAUUCAGCGGCGUCGUGUGGAGGAUGACGGCCUUCGGGUUGUAAACUCCUUACGCCCGCGGAAUGGUGGUGGGUACAGAAACGCCGGCUAACUACGUGCCAGCAGCCGCGGUAAUAC